GAUGAAGAACGUAGCGAAAUGCGAUAAGUAAUGUGAAUUGCAGAAUUCAGUGAAUCAUCGAAUCUUUGAACGCACAUUGCGCCCCCUGGUAUUCCGGGGGGCAUGCCUGUCCGAGCGUCAUUACAACCCUCAAGCUCAGCUUGGUGUUGGGCCUCGCCGCCCCGGCGGGCCCUAAAGUCAGUGGCGGUGCCGUCCGGCUCCGAGCGUAGUAAUUCUUCUCGCUCUGGAGGUCCGGUCGUGUGCUCGCCAGCAACCCCCAAUUUUUUUCAGGUUGACCUCGGAUCAGGUAGGGAUACCCGCUGAACUUAAGCAUAUCAAUAAGCGGAGGA
rnacentral:misc_RNA from 1 species